GGGGCUGUAGUGUAGCUUGGUAUCACUCAUGGUUCGGGGCCAUGCAACCGGAGUUCAAACACACUCGCUGGCGUUUGCAGCUUUGCAAUGCCGGUGGCGUUGAAAGUCUUCGCAGCCCCA
rnacentral:tRNA from 1 species